rnacentral:rRNA from 1 species
CAACUUUCAGCGAUGGAUCUCUUGGCUCUCGCAUCGAUGAAGAACGCAGCGAAUCGCGAUAAGUAAUGUGAAUUGCAGAUUUUCCGUGAAUCAUCGAAUCUUUGAACGCAUCUUGCGCUCCUCGGUGAUCCGAAGAGCAUGCCUGUUUGAGCGUCGUUG